AGCAGCCGCGGUAAUUCCAGCUCCAAUAGCGUAUAUUAAAGUUGUUGCAGUUAAAAAGCUCGUAGUUGAAUUUCGGGACUAAUAUGUCGGUCGUACUUUGUACGUACUAGCAUUAUUGGUUUCUCCCUUCUGACGAACCACGAUGUCAUUAAUUUGGUGUCAUGGGAAAUCAGGACUGUUACUUUGAAAAAAUUAGAGUGUUUAAAGCAAGCUCGCGCUUGAAUACAUUAGCAUGGAAUAAUGAAAUAGGACGUUUGAUUCUAUUUUGUUGGUUUCUAGGAUCGACGUAAUGAUUAAUAGGGAUAGUUGGGGGCAUUAGUAUUCAAUUGUCAGAGGUGAAAUUCUUGGAUUUAUUGAAGACUAACUACUGCGAAAGCAUUUGCCAAGGAUGUUUUCAUUAAUCAAGAACGAAAGUUAGGGAUCGAAGACGAUCAGAUACCGUCGUAGUCUUAACCAUAAACUAUGCCGACUAGGGAUCGGAUGAUGUUAAUUUUUAAUGUACUCAUUCGGCGCCUUACGG
rnacentral:rRNA from 1 species